AUUGAACGCUGGCGGCAGGCCUAACACAUGCAAGUCGAACGAGUGGCGGACGGGUGAGUAAUGUCUGGGAAACCGCCUGAUGGAGGGGGAUAACUACUGGAAACUGUAGCUAAUACCGCAUACUAUCAGAUGUGCCCAGGUGGGAUUAGCUAGUUGGGGGGGUAACGGCUCACCAAGGCGACGCUCCCUAGCUGGUCUGAGAGGAUGACCAGCCACACGGGAAUGGAGACACGGUCCAGAAUCCUCCGGGAGGCAGCAGUGGGGAAUAUUGCACAAGGGGCGCAAGCCUGAUGCAGCCAUGCCGCGUGGAGGAAGAAGGCCUUCGGGUUGUAAAGUACUUUCAGCGGGGAGGCGUUACCCGCAGAAGAAGCACCGGCUAACUCCGUGCCAGCAGCCGCGGUAAUUC
rnacentral:rRNA from 1 species